CGGAAGCGCUCAGCGCCAAUGGUGAUGACCUGUCCAUCAGGAAGCUCGUAGCUCUUCUCCACAGAAGAGCUGGUCUUGGCAGUCUCCAUCUCCUGGUCGUAGUCCAGGGCAAUGUAGGCAAGCUUCUCCUUCAUGUCCCUGACAAUUUCCCGCUCAGCGGUGGUGGUGAAGGAGUAGCCGCGCUCAGUCAGGAUCUUCAUGAGGUAGUCAGUGAGAUCACGGCCAGCAAGGUCGAGACGAAGGAUAGCGUGGGGGAGGGCGUAUCCCUCGUAGAUGGGGACAGUGUGGCUGACACCAUCUCCAGAGUCGAGCACGAUACCUGAGGGGUAAAGAGAUUUCGAAUGUUAGUGACAAUUGGAGCAAAUCAGAUUUGAAAAGUGCUUAUUCAAAGCAGCAUAAUUUGUUUGUUAGGUUGAUUCAUCAAAUUUGUCAAGAUCAAUGUUUACAUAUGAACAUUUUCCAAGAUCUCUAAAAUUUCAAAAGGCUACAGUUCAGUAGAGAAUCAAAUCAGCUCACCUGUGGUACGACCACUGGCAUACAGCGAGAGGACGGCCUGGAUGGCGACGUACAUAGCAGGGGUGUUGAAGGUCUCGAACAUGAUCUGGGUCAUCUUCUCACGGUUAGCCUUGGGGUUGAGGGGCGCCUCAGUGAGGAGGACAGGGUGCUCCUCGGGAGCCACACGGAGCUCGUUGUAGAAGGUGUGAUGCCAGAUCUUCUCCAUGUCGUCCCAGUUGCUGACGAUGCCGUGCUCGAUGGGGUACUUGAGGGUCAGGAUACCCCUCUUCGACUGGGCCUCGUCACCGACGUAGGCGUCCUUCUGCCCCAUCCCGACCAUGACACCGGUGUGGCGUGGGCGCCCCACGAUGCUGGGGAAGACGGCCCUCGGGGCGUCGUCCCCGGCGAACCCAGCCUGCCAUCAAGAGCAAACAAGCACAUUGCUGUUGUUAGAGCCUUAGCAGUAACCAACUGAAGAAAAAAAGUGUUUCGGAAAUCAAAACGGUCGCUCACCUUCACCAUACCGGUACCAUUGUCGCAGACGAGAGGCUGAAUGUCCUCCGCGUCAGCCAUUUUCUACCUACAGGAAAGCUCGCACGAUGCCACAUUUGUCAAAUCAAGCAGGAAUUAAAUAAGCAAAGCAGGCAAAUUGCAAAGCUAUCGAUGAUUUGUUUCCAUUGUUUGCUCUACAUACAAAAUCUACUCUAAAGGCAUCAAUUGAACCCUCCCAAUAAGAUACCAGAAAACCAGCAAUUAACGAACUAAUAAAUGGCAUUCCCCAACCCCACCACAGAUCAGGUCAUUUCGUUACCGAAACGCCCGAGGCGCCUCCAGAUCACGAGCCGAAACAAGCAGAUCUACAGCAUGCCAAAGAAACCCGCGCCCCAUUUCCGCGAGAUCCGGCCGGAUCCGCGGCGGGAGCGCGCAAAUGCGAGAUCGGAUCGGCCCGAGCGAGCAAUGCCGGGCGGAUCUGAGAGCACCGUACCGCGCCCGCGCGGGGCGGCGGUAGGGAGGAAGGGGAGACUCUAGCGAGGGACACAGGGUGAAUGAGUGGCGAAGAUCGUUACCGGAGUAGUGGAGGAUCCGCGGCGAGGAGGUGGGGAGCGGGCGGCGAGCUCGCGGCUGGGGGGAAGAUGGGGAGGAGAGGAGAGGAGAGGAGAGGGCGAAGCGGUGGUGAUGG
rnacentral:lncRNA from 1 species